AGGACGGGUGGGAGGCUCUGAGGUUGGCGGGGGUGGGCCGGCGCGCCACCCCGGCUGACACCUGGUGGUCCCUAGAGCUUGGGACCCUUCCCCGGGAGCUGGUCCCAGAGGGGGCGGGCGUUGCUGGGAGGCGGAGGGCUGCUUGGCCGCAGGUCCUGCGGUGUUCGCGAGCAUGAGUGCGUGCGCGUGUUUCUCUGAGGUCGGGCGCUGCGGCCGACUCUGCCCCCUCCUCCCGCUAACUCGGGUCGGCAGCGGGAGCCUAGAGAAGGCAACGUGGAGCCCAGAGCCGAGGCGCCCUUAGAUCGCGCUCUCUGUCCCCAGCAAAGGGGACAACUCUGGCCCAAGUCCUGGCCUAGAGGGAGCGCUGUGGAUACGCGCUGCCUUCUGCCUGGAAGUGUUGGGCAGGUGGUGGGAGUUCCUGAAUGUCAGGGUUUUAAAACACGUGUUUGUCUCUGUCAUUUUUACUUUUUAGGGUUUUGGCCAAAUUGGGCGAGGGCACAAAAUAACCACUUACCCCUUCUCACCGAGGAAGAACGGGAGAAAGGGAGCUGGUAGGCCAAGAGCCAGGCACCUCAUCCUCCAGGAUAGUAACCACUCUGUGGAUUGGGAUUCAAGAUUUCGCUGUCAUGAGCAUUUUGAUGAUACAUUUUAUUACACUUGUGUAAUGCGGAAAGUUGAAGACUUAAAGCAAAAAGGCCAAUCCUUCAAGAAACAAUGAGCAGUUGCGCUAAAAACAUUAAUUUUGUUUAAAAUUAUACUCAUGUUUAUUGUGAUUAAGUUUGUAAAGCAUACAAAUAUGCGCAAUGUCAAUAAUGUAAUUAUUUAGUAUUAAAAUCCUAUCAAUAUGAUAGGUUUUUGUUCUUAAAAUCUGUAUAUUAAGAAAACAAAUCUUCCAGGAGUUCCUGUCAUGGCUCAGUGGUUAAAGAACCCGACUAAUAUCUAUGUGGACCUGGGUUCGAUCCCUGGCCUUGCUCAGUGGAUUAAGGGUCUGGUGUUGCCAUGAGCUGUGGUGUAGGUCGCAGACGCAGCUUGGAUCCCGUGUGGCUGUGGUUGCGGUGUAGGCCGGAAGCCGCAGCUCUGAUUCGACCCCUAGCCUGGGAACUUCCAUAUGCUUUGGGGUGCGGCCCUAAAAGGACCAAAAAAAAAAAAAAAAAAAAAAAAAGAAAAGAAAAAAAGAAAACAAAUUUUCCAGAAGAGAGUAAAAACCCCAACAAGUACCAUGGAGAGUCACAAAUUCAAUUAUAUUGUAGGUCUCAUCGUGUCUGUUAAGUGAGCAGGAAUAUGUGCUCAUCUUUGUACUGUGGAAAGCCUGGUGUAUUAGUGCUGGCAUGUUAUCGUAGAGGAAUGAUCAUUCUUCUGAUAUUAUAACUUGUUUUACUCGAGAAGUGGUGUUUAAUGAUGCAAAAACUGAAUCUAAAGCUGGAGCCAGGAUUCCAGAGGUGGUUUAAGUGCUCACUCCUUUAUGACAGUAGGUAAAUUUGCCUCUCUGAAGCCUGUGUGUAAAAGAGGGCUGUGUUUGUUCUCUGUUGCUUUGUAAAACACAGCAAAAACAUAGUGGCUGAAAACAGCUGUAAUCCUUUAUUAUUUCAUCAUUACUGUGGGUCUGCAGUUCACAUGGUUCUGGCUCAGAGGUUCAACCGAAUGAGACUGUCAUCAGAUGCCAGGUGGAGGUACAGCUAGUCGAGGGCAUGCCUGGGGCUAAAAGGGUCCCUUCAUAGUGACCUCGUCACGCGGCCGGCAAGUUGGUGUUGGCAAGCAGCUUUCCAAGGGGGCUGUCCUGACUCUGUUCCUCAGAGUGAGAUACAAGAGACUAAGCUCUCUCUGGUGUCACCCAGCACCUUUACCCCAGUGCUUGGUACUUUGUUCGUGCUUCAUGGGUAUUUACUGAACUGAGUUGGAUUGCUGGUGCAACUCCAGCUUCUAUGCCUCCCCUGAAACAUCAGAUACAGAAGGGUUGUUGUUUGUUUGUUUUUUUUUUCCUUCCUUAGGUGGUGGUGGUGAUCAUGACUCCUGCCCAGAACCAUUUGUAAGCCUGUCUUAUGGGUCUCUGAUUUGCCCCUGGAGUCCUCAGCCUCUCCCAAACGACUUAGGUAUUUGGGUCUGCCAGUGCUGAGCCCGGCCUCCUGAUUCAUGAACAGAGUGAACCAGCAAAAAAACAUGCACACAUACCCCACAGUCUUUCUGCAUGACUCUUGCAAAAUCUCAUUGAACUCUUGCUCACUUUGGUAACUCCUAGCAUGUUUCUGAUGUCUGAGAUUAAGAAUACCCAGAAGAUAAAAGUGUCCAUCUUUCUUUCCUAUAAUAAAUCAAUUUUAUCCAAAAGUGUAUUCUGAGAGCUAGGUCUUUGUAAUGGCACUUGGACACACACACUUUUACAUGUCUUUCUGUUGAAAAAUGUUUAUAGCAUUUAUGGUCAAUUUUUGAGAAAUCAUCUUGCUCGUGGCUGGAGGAGACACUGUAAACACAUCAUCAAGGUCUAGUUUUGGAAUCAUGUUCAGCAGAGACAUUUUUUUAAAGAUGGGAAAUGCUUGUAAUACCGUGUUUUGUAUUUUAGGGUCAUUUCAUUUCAUUUGUUUUUUGCAUUAUGUAGACCGGUAAGUUCAGAGCAUCUCAGGAUUGUUUUCUCCUUUCUGUGUUCUCUCGAGUAUUUUUGUAUAGAUUCCCCUCUUUAGGAAUUCUUUAUCUUCUUAGCCCCUUCCUGCCUUCUCCAUCUGUUUUCUGUGCCUAAUUUUCUCCUUGUCUUUGGACUCCGUCUACCAGUAUCAUGUUAGAGGGUGAGCAGGCUACAAGGGGCAGAGCAGGUGCUGGGAGGAGCAGUGUGCAUGCAAAGCAAAGUGUCUGCCAAGGUUAGGGUUGAUGGCCAAGGGUGCUUUUGCUAAAUGGGUAAAAGUAGAUGGAUAAAGCAGCAAUUGAAAAGACUGUAGAGUUGCCGCAGAUAAUUUACCUUACAUUUUUAACAUAGACUUUAUUUUUUUAGAGGGGUUUUAGGUUUACAGAAACAUUGAGUGGAAGGGACAGAGAUUUCUCAUAUACCCCCUAUCUCUACACAUGCAGAAUUUCUCCCAUUAUCCACCUCACUUUCCAGAAUGUACAGUUAUUACAGUUGAUAGGCCUGCAUUGACACAUCAUUUUUACCUAAUGUUCAUAGUUUACGUUAGGGUUCACUCUUGGUGUUGUACAUUCUGUGGGUUUGGACAAAUGUAUGAUGUCGUGCGUGAUUCACCAUUAGAGUGUCAUUUAGAGUAGUUUCUCUGUCCUAGAAAUCCACUGUGUUCCACCCAUUUAUUCCUCUUCCCUAACCCCUGGCAACCAUAGAUCUUUCUACUGUCUCCAUAGUUUUGCCUUUUCCAGAAUAGUAUAUACUUGGAAUCUGUCUAUCUAUAUGUAGAAUGUAGCCAUUUUGCCCACAUUUUUACUUUGCCUGGUGUAACAGAUUAUUUACAAAGCAUUUUGGUAUUUUUUCCAACAGUUUGUUUAGUGGUUACUUUAAGAAGACUUCUAUUAGUGUUAGAUUAAAAUACUAAAUAACUAUUAUUUGGUUUGUUAAAUAAUAACGAUUUAAUAUCAUUAUCUAAGAGUAGUUUGAAGCACUUUAUAAACUAAUUAGCUUGUGUUUUUUGUGAGUCUCACUUUUUCUUACGGGUAAGAGAGGUACUAUAGGAGUUCCCACUGAGACACAGUGAGUUAAGUAUCUGGUGUUGCUGCAGCUGUGGCAUAGGUCAAACCUGCAGUUGGAGUCCAUCCCUGGCCAGAUAUGGCCAAAAGGAAAAAAAAGAAGAAGAAGUACUACAGUCAGAACAAAUGGAUUAUGAUAAUACAUUAGAAGAGUAAUAGUUUACAGCACGUCUGGUGUAUAUGAGCACAUGAUGCCAAUUCUCUAAACAUCUUAUUAAAGAUUUUUUUUUGAAAUUAAGAGAGAGGCAUUAAAUGCAAAUUUCUAGACAUUAAAUUGGUAAUAUUAGUAAAAAGAAUUUGGGUGGGGUUAUGAAGAUUUAUUCAAGUGCCAGCUCUGCUGUCAGCCAUGUGAAGAACAGGAAUUUUUGGUCUCUGAAUUCCAGUUUUCUUUUGGGGAAAUGGAGAUAACACAUACUUCAUCAGAUAAUUUGUGGACUGUGCGAGCUGUUUCUAAGAAUCCUAUGUCAAAUUAAUUCAUAAAGAAAUGUGAGAAGUUAUUUGGUUAAGAAUCCUAUGUAAAUUUUAUUUCAUAAAUGUGAGGAAUUAUUUGGUUAAUGAAUUAUUUGGUUAAUUACUGUCUCCAAUUUAAACAUUUAUUAUAUUUUUUUAAUUUUGUAGAAAAGUAAUCAAGGAGAAUAAUGAUGGGGCUGUCNNNNNNNNNNNNNNNNGCUGAAAAGAUGUUUAUUUAGUUGUACCUGAGAAAAAACUGCAUUUUUUUAAAUCUGAGUUUUUCUUAUUGAUUAAGCCUGCUUGUAUCUUCUUAUGAAAUGUAUACACUUUGGGAUAUUCUGUUUGUGUGCUUGGCUCCUAAUCAUAUUUAGUACCUAGUUGUCAGCUUGAAAUGUUAGUCCUCCUUCCAAAAGCAUGAAUUAUAGUGCCACAUUCUGUAU
ensembl:lncRNA